rnacentral:rRNA from 1 species
AGAGUUUGAUCCUGGCUCAGAACGAACGCUGGCGGCGUGGAUAAGACAUGCAAGUCGAGCGCUGAUUUCAAGGUAGCAAUAUUUUGAAGUCGGAGCGGCGCAAGGGUGCGUAACACGUGGGUAAUCUGCCAUGAAGUUUGGGAUAACUCGCUGAAAGGCGAGCUAAUACCGGAUGUGAAAAUUGGAAGGCAUCUUUUGAUUUUCAAAGCUGGGGACCGUAAGGCCUGGCGCUUCUUGAUGAGCCCGCGGCCUAUCAGCUAGUUGGUGAGGUAACGGCUCACCAAGGCUAAGACGGGUAGCUGGUCUGAGAGGACGACCAGCCACACUGGAACUGAGACACGGUCCAGACACCUACGGGUGGCAGCAGUCGAGAAUUUUUCACAAUGGGCGCAAGCCUGAUGGAGCGACGCCGCGUGGGGGAUGAAUGGCUUCGGCCCGUAAACCCCUGUCAUUUGCGAUCAAACCUUAUUAUUUAAAAGAUGAUGAGCUGAUAGUAGCGAAAGAGGAAGGGACGGCUAACUCUGUGCCAGCAGCCGCGGUAAUACAGAGGUCCCGAGCGUUGUUCGGAUUCACUGGGCGUAAAGGGUGCGUAGGUGGUGAAGUAAGUCGGAUGUGAAAUCUCGGAGCUUAACUCCGAAACUGCAUUGGAAACUACUUUGCUCGAGGGUUGGAGGGGGGACUGGAAUUCUCGGUGUAGCAGUGAAAUGCGUAGAUAUCGAGAGGAACACCAGUGGCGAAGGCGAGUCCCUGGACAACUCCUGACACUGAGGCACGAAAGCUAGGGGAGCAAACAGGAUUAGAUACCCUAGUAGUCC